rnacentral:rRNA from 1 species
GAUGAACGCUGGCGGCGUGCCUAAUACAUGCAAGUCGAGCGAACAGACGAGGAGCUUGCUCCUCUGACGUUAGCGGCGGACGGGUGAGUAACACGUGGAUAACCUACCUAUAAGACUGGGAUAACUUCGGGAAACCGGAGCUAAUACCGGAUAAUAUAUUGAACCGCAUGGUUCAAUAGUGAAAGACGGUUUUGCUGUCACUUAUAGAUGGAUCCGCGCCGCAUUAGCUAGUUGGUAAGGUAACGGCUUACCAAGGCGACGAUGCGUAGCCGACCUGAGAGGGUGGUCGGCCACACUGGAACUGAGACACGCACCAGACUCCUACGGGAGGCAGCAGUAGGGAAUCUUCCGCAAUGGGCGAAAGCCUGACGGAGCAACGCCGCGUGAGUGAUGAAGGUCUUCGGAUCGUAAAACUCUGUUAUUAGGGAAGAACAAAUGUGUAAGUAACUAUGCACGGCUUGACGGUACCUAAUCAGAAAGCCACGGCUAACUACGUG